AGGCCCUCUGCGCCUUGGUGGGAGGAAGAGGAAUCAUCCUUGUUGCUGACCCCCUGCGACGGUGCUGGCUGGACGGGGUGUGCAUCGUGCCAGGAGCUGGUCCCUCAUUCAUCCUCACAGCAGCCCUCCCGGGCUCGCCCGCCGUGACUUUCACUCCCAUUUCACAGACGAGGACCCUGAGGUCCAGGGAGGCUGAGUGGGCUGCCCUCCCCAGCUGGAGCCUGGAGGGGAUUUGAACUCGGGCCUCAGGGCAGAGCCUGUCGCUGUCUGGGCUGGGCUGAGCUGACUCCCCAGGGCCGUCAGCUCCACUGCAUCCUGACCACCUGGGAACUGUGGUCAGCACUUUCCAGGCUCAAAGGCAUGGCUGCUUACAGCGUGCCCGAGGGACAGCCCAGCUGCAGCCCCUCCUCACCAGCGACCCCUGGGCCCUUUGCCUCGGGGCCAGGCAAGCGGAGAGCAGAGAGCAGUGUGUGAGGAGGGAAAAAAGCCGGACUACAGGGACCCCAGCCACCCGCCAGCCCCUACCCUGCAGCCUCUCCUGCCAGAGGCCGAGGCUCCUGAGCUGCCCCGUGCAGGGAGUGUGGCCAGGCGAGGCUCCGUGGAGUGCAGGAGCUGCG
ensembl:lncRNA novel transcript